rnacentral:rRNA from 1 species
AUACGUAGGUGGCAAGCGUUGUCCGGAAUUAUUGGGCGUAAAGCGCGCGCAGGUGGUUCCUUAAGUCUGAUGUGAAAGCCCCCGGCUCAACCGGGGAGGGUCAUUGGAAACUGGGGAACUUGAGUGCAGAAGAGGAUAGUGGAAUUCCAAGUGUAGCGGUGAAAUGCGUAGAGAUUUGGAGGAGCACCAGUGGCGAAGGCGACUGUCUGGUCUGUAACUGACACUGAGGCGCGAAAGCGUGGGGAGCAAACAGGAUUAGAUACCCUGGUAGUCCACGCCGUAAACGAUGAGUGCUAAGUGUUGGGGGGUUUCCGCCCCUCAGUGCUGCAGCUAACGCAUUAAGCACUCCGCCUGGGGAGUACGGUCGCAAGACUGAAACUCAAAUGAAUUGACGGGG